ACUCUCCUGUUCAAAAUCAACGCCAAAUCUUUCGUUUGASUAAUAUCAUGCGUAAUUUACUAUUCGUAUACUCACAGCUCGGAWGAGAGCAGAGAGGUAUUUAUGUGUGUCAGCACUUGGAUGACUGGCAGAACUGGUCUAGACAUAUUCCAACCAUUACGCAUGAAUUUCCCGUCAAUAUUUGGACACCGGCCAGAGUUUGUACUACGUGAAGAAGACUUGACUUCCUUGUAUUCUGUCCAUCUCUGAUUCUGACAUUCAAGUCAUACAAGUGUGUUACAAAGAACGAUCUCACAAUAACGUUUUUCUAUAGUAUACUUGAAAGGGCCUUUGAAACUUCACGGAUCAAAACCUAAGAUGAACAUGUUCAGUCAAGUCCUCAUUGGAUUGCUCAUGGUUCUAGUAGAUAAUGCAGCAGUUAUCAAAGAUGAAAGCCAGUGCACUGCUAAAGUUGUUGGGUCUUUGUGCAAAUCACAUGCUGAUUGUUACUGCCCGAAUACGUACAUCUUGUGUAAUCACGAGAAAAGGUGCGAAAACGCUAGUCUGGCCCUCAUCUCCAUUCUUCUUCCAUGUCCUAAAAUAUUCAAGACGCGCUGUGAGUCUGAUGCCGACUGUACUUGUUCUGAGGAACGACUAAAGUGCGAGCAAAACGAGUGUGUACGUUUUAAGAAGAAUGGUGGAAAUCCUAGUUUGACACCACAGUGGCCAUGUAAAUAAUACGUGUACGCAACUAACAUUACAGUAGAGCUGUUACGUAAGGCAAACAAAACUAUCCUCGUAAUAUUUUAAAGUCAGUUUAUUACGUGCCUUAUGAUAGUGUUAGAGAGUUUUAGAUACUGGUUUACGGCGAACGCCAAACGUCAAAACUGAUCACGUGAUCACUGUUU